AUUGAACGCUGGCGGCAUGCCUAACACAUGCAAGUCGAACGGGGUACUUCGGUACCUAGUGGCGGACGGGUGAGUAACGCGUAGGAAUCUGCCUUGCAGAGGGGGACAACCUGGGGAAACUCAGGCUAAUACCGCAUACGCUCGCAAGAGGAAAGCGGGGGAUCUUCGGACCUCGCGCCGCAAGAAGAGCCUACGUCCGAUUAGCUAGUUGGUAGGGUAAAAGCCUACCAAGGCGACGAUCGGUAGCUGGUCUGAGAGGAUGAUCAGCCACACUGGGACUGAGACACGGCCCAGACUCCUACGGGAGGCAGCAGUGGGGAAUAUUGGACAAUGGGCGCAAGCCUGAUCCAGCAAUGCCGCGUGGGUGAAGAAGGCCUGCGGGUUGUAAAGCCCUUUAAGUGGGGAGGAACGGCAGGAUGCAAACAGUGUCCUGCUCUGACGUUACCCACAGAAUAAGCACCGGCUAACUCCGUGCCAGCAGCCGCGGUAAUAC
rnacentral:rRNA from 1 species